AGUGUUUGAUCAUGGCUCAGAUUGAACGCUGGCGGUAUGCUUAACACAUGCAAGUCGAACGGUAACAGCAGAAGCUUGCUUCUGGCUGACGAGUGGCGGACGGGUGAGUAACGCGUGGGAAUCUGCCUUAUAGUGGGGGAUAGCCCGGAGAAAUCCGGAUUAAUACCGCAUACGCCCUACGGGGGAAAGUUGGGGAUCUUCGGACAUGACGCUAUUAGAUGAGCCCGCGUUGGAUUAGCUAGUUGGUGGGGUAAUGGCCUACCAAGGCAACGAUCUAUAGCUGGUCUGAGAGGACGAUCAGCCACACUGGGACCGAGACACGGCCCAGACUCCUACGGGAGGCAGCAGUGGGAAUAUUGCACAAUGGGCGCAAGCCUGAUGCAGCAAUACCGCGUGUGUGAAGAAGGCCUGAGGGUUGUAAAGCACUUUCAAUUGUGAAGAAAAGCUUUUGGUUAAUAACCUUGAGUCUUGACAUUAGCAAUACAAGAAGCACCGGCUAACUCCGUGCCAGCAGCCGCGGUAAUACGGAGGGUGCAAGCGUUAAUCGGAAUUACUGGGCGUAAAGCGUACGUAGGCGGUUUACUAAGUCAGAUGUGAAAGCCCCGGGCUUAACCUGGGAACUGCAUUUGGUACUGGUAGGCUAGAGUAUGGUAGAGGGGGGUAGAAUUCAUAGUGUAGCGGUGAAAUGCGUAGAUAUUAUGAGGAAUACCAGUGGCGAAGGCGGCCCCCUGGACCAAUACUGGCGCUGAGGUACGAAAGCGUGGGUAGCGAACAGGAUUAGAUACCCUGGUAGUCCACGCCGUAAACGAUGUCAACUAGCCGUUGGACCUUGAGGUCUCAGUGGUGCAGCUAACGCGUGGAGUUGACCGCCUGGGGAGUACGGCCGCAAGGCUAAAACUCAAAUGAAUUGACGGGGGCCCGCACAAGCGGUGGAGCAUGUGGUUUAAUUCGAUGCAACGCGAAGAACCUUACCUACCCUUGACAUUGACAGAAUCCAGUAGAGAUACAGGAGUGCCUUCGGGCCUGGAAAACAGGUGCUGCAUGGCUGUCGUCAGCUCGUGUCGUGAGAUGUUGGGUUAAGUCCCGCAACGAGCGCAACCCUUAUCCUUAGUUGCCAGCACAUUAUGGUGGGAACUCUAAGGAGACUGCCGGUGAUAAACCGGAGGAAGGUGGGGGUGACGUCAAGUCAUCAUGGCCCUUAUGGGUAGGGCUACACACGUGCUACAAUGGCCAGUACAGAGGGCAGCAAACUCGCGAGAGUAAGCAAAUCCCACAAAGCUGGUCGUAGUCCGGAUUGGAGUCUGCAACUCGACUCCAUGAAGUUGGAAUCGCUAGUAAUCGUGAAUCAGAAUGUCACGGUGAAUACGUUCCCGGGCCUUGUACACACCGCCCGUCACACCAUGGGAGUGGGCUGCAAAAGAAGUGGGUAGUUUAACCUUCGGGAGAACGCUCACCACUUUGUGGUUCAUGACUGGGGUGAAGUCGAAACAAGGUA
rnacentral:rRNA from 1 species